UGGGGAAUAUUGCGCCGUGGGGGGAACCCUGACGCAUCCAUGCCGCGUGUAUGAAGAAGGCCUUAGGGUUGUAAAGUUCUUUCGGUAUUGAGGAAGGUUGAUGUGUUAAUAGCACAUCAAAUUGACGUGCUCUACAGAAUAUCCACCGGCUAACUCCGUGCCAGCAGCCGCGGUAAUACUGAGGGUGCGAGCGUUAAUCGUAAUAACUGGGCGUAAAGGGCACGCAGGCGGUUAUUUCCUCGAGGUGUGAAAGCCCCGGGCUUAACCUGGGAAUUGCUUUUCAGACUGGGUAACUAGAGUACUUUAUGGAGGGGUAAAAUUCCACGUGUACCGUUGAAAUGCGUAAAGAUGAGGAGGAAUACCGAACGCCAAAGCAGCCCCUUGGCAAUGUACUGACGCUCAUGUGCUUCUUCUGGGGAGCAAACAGGAUUAGAUACCCUGGUAGUCCACGCUGUCACGCUGUCGAUUUGNNGGUUGGGGUUUAACUCUGGCGCCCGUAGCUCACGUGAUAAAUCGACCGCCUGGNGAGUAUGNNCGCUAGGCUA
rnacentral:rRNA from 1 species